rnacentral:lncRNA from 1 species
GAACUUGCGGGUCAUACGAUGAUACCCCGACAGUCGCAUGAGCUUCAAAAAGUUCAAGCGGAAUUAGAAAGAGAACGAGAGGCCUGACAAAACACAGAAUCCCGUUUCGAACAAUUUCAACAAGUGCGCGAAAAAGAGCGGGCCGACCAAGCGGCAUGGCAAAAAACUAUGGAAGACAAGCUGAAAAACAUCGGAAAUAAGUAAAAACUCUCGUCUUGUUAAGUAUUGGAAUGU